ensembl:lncRNA
CCCUGGGUUGGGAAGAUCCUCUGGAGAAGGAAAUGGCCACUCCAUGGAUGGAGGAGUGAGGUAGGCUACAGUCCAUGGGUCACAAAGAGUCAGACACGACUGAGCGACUUCACUUUCACUUUUCAGAGUGUUACUGCGAAGAUAAAGGAAGACAAUGAUGAUGGAGCCCUCAGCCAUGCUGGGAAGAAAGCGUCUCUCAACACACCUUGGCUAUUAGAAUUAUUGUCAACAUCCAGUUACCACUAUUAGGGCACGUUUCUCGGUUUCAUGCAUUGAUACGACGCAUCGUUGAUGAGACAAAUUCAGCUUCAUUACCACGGAGUUUCAUGCAAAUAGAAAAGCAUUGCAGAACAUCAUCUUUUCUCAAACCAGAACUGAUCUGAAUCUGUAUUAAAACAGCAAGGAAUAAAUGAAAGCAUCUCUAUGAAGUCUUAACUCGGAACUGAAAUCUUAAAAGCGACAGUCUCGCAUCCAGUCUCGCAUUUCACCAGACAGACUUCCUGCAUGUGGUUGGACACACUGCUACCAGCAACUCCUGUGUCCCCUAUCUCACAAUUUUGCUACGAGAAGAAAAGAAGAAAAUAAAAAAGCCACUUGACUAAAAUUGCCCACCUCCUCGCCCUCAGCCUGACGCCAGUUGGAAAGUCCCAGGGAAAGCCGCCCCAGGACUCAGGUCGGGUGAGAGGCCCCGGGUGGGGGUGCGCCCUCUGACAUCCAGUCCCCGAUGGAAGCAGAAGGCUGCAGUGAGAGAGAAGCAGUCUCCCCCAAGAAGAGAGGGGGGUCCCCAGAAAUGAGGAGGCGUCGGAGGCAGUCAGAGCGAUACGUGCUCACACUGAAGCCAAGGGGGUCAUUGUUCUUCUUGCUUCGCCCCCUGGUGAGCAGGACCCUAGGCUGGUGGGGGAAGCUCGUGGUCAAACCCACGUGUGGCCAACACGGGCAACACAGUCCAGAACAGGUUGAAAGGCGCCUCUGAGUUGAAAGUGCUCAGCAAUAAAAGGUAAACCAAGUUAUUCUGGCGCCUGUAACCUAAACCAUUCCAGUUUAUAGUCUUAACGAAAGAACUACGGGACCAAGGAUCAAAACCAGACUGUAUUUUGUUAGGA